rnacentral:rRNA from 1 species
GUUUCAGUAGGUGAACCUGCUGCUGGAUCAUUAC